rnacentral:rRNA from 1 species
UGGUGGAGUUAUUUGUCUGGUCAAUUCCAUUAACGGACGAGACCGUAACCUGCUAAAUAGUUACCCAUAACUUCGGUCAUGCGGGCAACUUAGAGGGACUUUGUGUAUUCAGCGCAGGGAAGUUUGAGGCAACAACA